GCGAUCGAUUUGAUCGUGAUUUGGUCGAGAAUAUUGAUGAUUAGAGACUCUCAAUCAAGAAGGUUAAAGCUUUUGUAUCGUCUGGAGGAUCAUCUUCUUGGCACAUAUCAAAAUGUCUCAAAGUGAAAAAGCAUCCAAUAGAGUUGGAACUCCAAGCUGCAGUCAACCAAUUUCCCAACAGCCAGAACAAGAAGAUCAAAGUGUUGCUUCAACAAUUGCUUCAACAGCACCUUCUUCGAGUAAUAAGAGAUCAUUAGCAGAAGUAGCAGAUGAAAAUCAUCCACUUGUUAUUGCUUUAUUGAAGAAAUUGCGCACAACAAGGUCACCUUCAUGGGAUGAAUUCACUAGGAAAAUCAUUGUAGAGCCUGAUAAAGAUAACCCGGGUAAGGAAGUGGCUGUUCUUAUGGGUGAAUGUCAUCAUUGCAAAAAGUUGGUACCUGCUUGUAGUGAACAAGGAACUACCCGCUUGGCUCAACAUCUAAGAAUGUGUCCCCAGAAGCCUCAAAACAAGCCAGGCCAGAUG